CAGUCCCUCCUUCCUCCAUUCUUGUGCUAAAAUUGGAAUGAUACAGAGAAGAUUAGCAUGGCCCCUGUGCUACUUAACAUCUUAUAGGUGCAUUUCCUACUA